UACGUAGGGUGCGAGCGUUGUCCGGAAUUACUGGGCGUAAAGAGCUCGUAGGUGGUUUGUCGCGUUGUCCGUGAAAACUCACAGCUUAACUGUGGGCGUGCGGGCGAUACGGGGCAGACUGGAGUACUGCAGGGGAGACUGGAAUUCCUGGUGUAGCGGUGGAAUGCGCAGAUAUCAGGAGGAACACCGGUGGCGAAGGCGGGUCUCUGGGCAGUAACUGACGCUGAGGAGCGAAAGCGUGGGGAGCGAACAGG
rnacentral:rRNA from 1 species